rnacentral:rRNA from 1 species
GACGAACGCUGGCGGCGUGCUUAACACAUGCAAGUCGAACGAUGAUCCGGAGCUUGCUCCGGGGAUUAGUGGCGAACGGGUGAGUAACACGUGAGUAACCUGCCCUUGACUCUGGGAUAAGCGUUGGAAACGACGUCUAAUACCGGAUAUGACCUUUGCCGGCAUCGGCUGGAGGUGGAAAGAUUUUUGGUCAAGGAUGGACUCGCGGCCUAUCAGGUAGUUGGUGAGGUAAUGGCUCACCAAGCCGACGACGGGUAGCCGGCCUGAGAGGGUGACCGGCCACACUGGGACUGAGACACGGCCCAGACUCCUACGGGAGGCAGCAGUGGGGAAUAUUGCACAAUGGGCGCAAGCCUGAUGCAGCAACGCCGCGUGAGGGAUGACGGCCUUCGGGUUGUAAACCUCUUUUAGCAGGGAAGAAGCGAAAGUGACGGUACCUGCAGAAAAAGCACCGGCUAACUACGUGCCAGCCGCCGCAGUAAAAC